UACAGAGGGGGCAAGCGUUGUUCGGAAUUACUGGGCGUAAAGGCUCGUAGGCGGCCAACUAAGUCGGACGUGAAAUCCCCAGGCUCAACCUGGGAACUGCGUCCGAUACUGGAUGGCUUGAAUUCGGGAGAGGGAUGCAGAAUUCCAGGUGUAGCGGUGAAAUGACGUAGAUAUCUGGAGGAAUACCGGUGGCGAAGGCGGCAUCCUGGACCGACAUUGACGCUGAUGAGCGAAAGCUAAGGGGAGCAAACGGGG
rnacentral:rRNA from 1 species